UCAGAUUCAAGGGAAACAAAAUUUGAGUGACUGGUCUCUAAGGCAUGGUCUCCCGGUGCCCUGUAAAAGGGUCUUUUAUCACCCAAAGGGGUCAUGAUCUACAGGUUGAGAACUUCUGCUCUGAGGCCACGGAGACAGUGGCACCAUAGACAUGGACAAUGUAACCAUUCCCAAAGGAAGGUGGAUGAUUCUAAGCUAGGCAGCAACCUCCAGAUGCAUCCAUAAAUCCAAGACAAAGAUACAACCAAAAACCAUUUCUGACUCCUGCUUCUUGUCUCUACAAACAAACAUCACUGGUCCACCCUCCUGCC
rnacentral:lncRNA from 1 species